rnacentral:rRNA from 1 species
CAGUAGCCGCGGUAAUACGUAGGUGGCAAGCGUUGUCCGGAAUUAUUGGGCGUAAAGGGCUCGCAGGCGAUUUCUUAAGUCUGAUGUGAAAGCCCCCGGCUCAACCGGGGAGGGUCAUUGGAAACUGGGAAACUUGAGUGCAGAAGAGGAGAGUGGAAUUCCACGUGUAGCGGUGGAAUGCGUAGAGAUGUGGAGGAACACCAGUGGCGAAGGCGACUCUCUGGUCUGUAACUGACGCUGAGGAGCGAAAGCGUGGGGAGCGAACAGGAUUAGAGACCCCGGUAGUCCCUGUCUCUUAUAA